rnacentral:lncRNA from 1 species
UUUAUUAUCGACAUUAGAAAUCCCCCAUAUAACGAUUAUUUUUCGAGAUACUGACCAUGUGUGGUGAAUGGCUAAUUUUGGUCGUAGAUUAUGUUUUUGAUCGUGCUAAAAACGAAAAUGAAAUUUAUUUUAAAUUUUAGGUGGGGAAUAUUGUCAAAAUCGCAAUUUAACCAUAGAAAUAAAAAAAGUAAAAUCAUAGCCUUUAACUGGCUACAACUCUGGUCGAUUUUAAAUAUUUUUAUUUAAGGUUUAUACACUAUAUGUUGCUCACUUUUUUGAAGACAACGGUAUCUGAUUUAAGAUUUUAGUCGUAUUCAAGUAAAAGUUAUGAAUUUUUUAAAGUACAAGGUACAGAUUCUUGAAUUGCAAAGUUUAAUCGCAAAAGUUAAGAGACAAAAUUUAAAAUUUAUCCAUUUUUAACGUUACAAACGUCACAUCUUUGAUAUUUUGUUUUUAAAUAAUUAUUUUACCUUAUUUCCUUUAAUAUUUCAUUAAUAAUUAUCUUCUUCUAAUUGGUUUACCCAUUUCCCCCUUUAAAAAUCGGUUGGCGCUCAUUUAUUAUCCUCUUUUAUUAUCUUCUAUUUAAUAUAUCUCUUUCAUUUAAAUCAUCAUACUGAACAUACCUCGUAUAUUCAUACUCUCCAAAUAUCUGUAUUUUCAAUACGGAACAUGCCGCUACUUCAUAGUACUUGGUUGUCAUUUUAAAUGUCGUUUUCAAUGACAGUGUCACUUCAUCGACUUGACCCCCUACUCCCUGACAUACACUGGAAGGGAAAAAUUAAUCCUUAAAAAGGCAUGUAAUUCGAAAAAUAAAUCAUUUCUAUUUCAACAAAUCAUCUUCCUCUUGGGUUUUUUGGAAAGAAAUCACUUUUCUCCCUUUGGGAGCUUCAAGCCAUCCACACCGGUGAUGGAACUAAGGCUGACACAAUGGGGACUUUGACAUCCAGACUCCAGCAUCCAACACCUUUAGCUGCAGGGGCCUAGGGCCGAAGAUCUGCCCAGGCCUACGAGAAGUCUACAACAGCAGUAACAUACGACAUCAAGAAGAUACCAUCAGCUACCAAAAGCCAUAAGUAUAAUCCAGAAUUGUUAGUUUUUGGCAAGAAUUUAAAUACAUUUGUUAAUGCAAUUUACUAAGUCAUUUUAUUUAUUAUAUCUUUAUGAACAAUAAACAUGAUUAGUUAAAAACUA